UUUAUAAAUGUAGCAUUUUUGCUUAAAAACGCUUAAAUUCAGAGAAAAAACAAAGACCAUGAUCCCAUGCAGAGCCCACUGGCGACAGAUAUAGUCAGCUUCUCCCCUUGUAAGCUGCGUGCCUGCAACGUGAAGCCUUUAUUUCUCCACCCUCCUUAAACAGAGCCCUACAAACUCCAUUAUAGUGCUACGUUUGUCUUUGUUCUUAGGUUCCUCUCCCCAGCUCAGAGUGCGACUAUGCGCUCAGAGCUGGGAGAAUGGUCCAUUCAAAUCCUUGC